UCGAAGGCGGCUCUAGACGACGACUCCUCCUCCUCCUCCUUCUCCUCCUCCUCCUGCUUUCCUGCGCGGCGGCCGCGAACAGAGUGAAAGCGACAGCAGCCCCGCUUCGGCUACAAAUGGCCGUCGGGAGGUGGGGGCAGCCAUGCAAAUAGUGCAGAAAUCCCCAGGCAACCAGGCAGUUUCUAUAUUGAUUACCUGCUUGCUGGAACUGUCCACAUUGUAAAAGGGUGUCUAAAGGAGAAUGGGCCAAACUAAUUCAAAUAACAAUGAUUGAGAGAAAAUUAAAGGUGACAGGAAGCAAUUGUGGGAAGUUGAAGGAGAUGUUACCUCUUCUUGAAAUGUACUGAGGAAGAGGAAAAAUGCAUGUAGUCUGUAGAAUCAAGCUAAGACAGCUGCAGAAUGUAAAACAGUUGAACAAGGGAACUUGCAGAGAUGAUAAUUUUUGUAAAAGAAGGACUUGCAAAAACACUCAGAGAACAAGCCAAACAAUAAUUGUUAUUAGAAUAAACCUUAUUACAGUGUAAUUGACUUCAGACAUUUCCUCGCCUGUACAAUAUCUUUUACAAAAUUGUUCCUGACUAAUGGGACAAAAUGUUUUUUGACCUAUUCCUUUUUUAUUACAGAAAAUCUUGGGACAGGAAGCAAUACGCUGAAUUGUCCGCUCAGGUGCAACUUUCCAUUUCUCAUUUAUGUAUACAUUUACAGUUGAGGCUUCCUUUUUCAUAAAUAA